rnacentral:rRNA from 1 species
UACGUAGGGCGCAAGCGUUUGUCCGGAAUUAUUGGGCGUAAAGAGCUCGUAGGCGGUCUGUCGCGUCGGCUGUGAAAACCCGAGGCUCAACCUCGGGUCUGCAGUCGAUACGGGCGGACUGGAGUACUGCAGGGGAGACUGGAAUUCCUGGUGUAGCGGUGAAAUGCGCAGAUAUCAGGAGGAACACCGGUGGCGAAGGCGGGUCUCUGGGCCGGAACUGACGCUGAGGAGCGAAAGCGUGGGGGAGCGAACAGGAUAG